AUGACAAUAAAUUCACAGACUUGCAAAGACAAAUGUGCCCUUCAGCCCGGCCAGUGGCAGCACCCUGCUUCAGGGCAGCUGCGUGCGAGCCAGGAAGUCGGUGGUUGGCGGAAUGCACGGAGCAUCCCCAGGUGCCAGGCUGCAGGCAUGAUGUCGCCUGCCUGCCUGCCGUGUUGGAUCUUAACACCUAUGACUCUCAGGAGACCCGACUGCUCUGUCGCCACCUCCUGGCCGGGAGGAGUUGUCCUGUUCACAGGUGAAGCGUGGGGUGCAGCCGCGCGCGAAGUCACAAGGCCAGUGGGUAGUGGGGCAGCAGGGCCGCAGCGCUCUCCCUUCCACUCGUGCUCUCAGGGCAGAGGGCACAGCUGCGGCCGGGGCCCUCUCGGGGCUGAGCAGGCACGGGGCCUGCAAAGUCUCUGUGUCCAACAGCAGACGCCUGGGAGUGCAGCCACAGGACUACCCACAGUGAGGGGUUCCAGGACGGUGACGGGAGUGAGGAGCCAGGUCUGCCUCAGCCCACCAGCCCUGAGGAGCAGCUUCCGGAUCACAGAGAAGACAGGAUCCCCUUCUGGUGGCCACAGUGCAGGACAGAUACCACCUGUGACCCUCAGCCUCUCAUGCUGUCCCUGGGCUGACCCGAGUGUCACUGGCGAGUGAUGCCCUUGCGUCAGUGAUGAUGGAAAUGAAAAUCAAAGCACAAAAAUUAUAGGAAAAAGCUUUCUGUGAAAGUGACAGAAGAUAAUGGAGGUACAGCUCGACGAGGCCCUGCUGGUCCCCAACAAGGAAAGGAAGGGGAAGGAGGGAAAGGAAGGGCCCAGGGCGGGCGGCAGAGGGGCCACACUGAUGCAGGUCAGCAGGGAGCAGCCCAGCGCGGGGCCCUGAGGUGGGCCAGGGUCUGCUCCACCAUCACCUCAGGCCUGCUUUGGGGCCCUGAGGAGCCUCGUGACUCAAGGGCCGUGCGGUGCCGUGGAGCAACCUCAGGCUGCAGGGCCCGGUCUGGUCUGUGAUCCCCGAGGAGUCCGGGGGAUCCCAGGUUCUGGG
rnacentral:lncRNA from 1 species